rnacentral:rRNA from 1 species
UGGGGAAUAUUGCACAAUGGGGGAAACCCUGAUGCAGCAACGCCGCGUGCGGGAUGACGGCCUUCGGGUUGUAAACCGCUUUCAGCCAUGACGAAGCUUUUGUGACGGUAGUGGCAGAAGAAGCACCGGCUAACUACGUGCCAGCAGCCGCGGUGAUACGUAGGGUGCGAGCGUUGUCCGGAAUUAUUGGGCGUAAAGAGCUUGUAGGCGGUUUGUCGCGUCGAAAGUGUAAACUCAGUGCUUAACGCUGAGCCUGCUUUCGAUAAGGGCUGACUAGAGGAAGGUAGGGGAGAAUGGAAUUCCCGGUGGAGCGGUGGAAUGCGCAGAUAUCGGGAGGAACACCAGUGGCGAAGGCGGUUCUCUGGACCUUUCCUGACGCUGAGAAGCGAAAGCGUGGGUAGCAAACAGG